rnacentral:lncRNA from 12 species
CGCCUGUGGAUGUGUGUACGGGAAUGUUUUUCUGGGACUCCUCCAGCUCAGUGAUCAGAAACUGCCUCAAUCAUCACCUCUUGUUGUCUUAAGUUCACUAAUGUGUGAUUGGGCCAGAUUGCGUGAACACAUAGAAAGAAGCCAUAACCAGCCAGUAAUGAGUUCUCCUGGGUCUCAAUGUUACUAAUUCUUGCUCUCUGAAAUAUUCUUUCUCUCAUCCCUCUCUGAGACCGUGAUCUGUUGUUUCGUAUCUUUCUCAGUCCUGUCUCUCCAGGUGCUGUUGCUGAGCUGAUCAAUCUUGUAGAAUCCAGUCACAUCUCAUCUUCAACUGCCAAGCCAGAAAGUGAGAAAAAGAGCUUUAAUUUGUACUGCACAUUUACAAAACACCAAAAAGGCUAUUUUGCCGGAGGAUUUGUCAGAAGGUUCUCCCGUUUGUUUGUGGUGAGCACAGGUUUUCCAGGAGAUGUGGAAGGCUCCGGAGAAGACCGUGGGCCAGAUAGUGAAGGAGCAGGAUUUGUGGAUAAUAAAAGACAAAGAGGAGCUACAAAACAUCUGUCAGAGGCGUGUGGACAGUCACCCUGAGGAGGUAAAUCCAGACAAUUAUCCACCUUAAGCACUAUGUUAAUAGUCCACCUUAAAAACUCUGUAACAAUUUUUAGCCAGCACACAAAUGUAAUAUUAUUUUAUUUGUUUAUUCGUUCAUUCAUAAGAUGAACUGCUUGCCACGUUUGAUAAUUUAUGCAAUAUUUUUUUGCAAAUUAAUUUGUUGCAGGUUCAGAUUCUCAGAAAAUGUUCAGUUUAUCAGAGGAGGGAAUACGAAAGUACUGAACAAACUGAUGGGUGAAGGCCUAAAGAAACAAAAGGCAGAACUGACCCGGCCCAAAUCAGAGCCAUUCUAGAGAAAAUGGUCUUAUGAAUUACCCAGCAUGCCUCUUUGUGGGUUAAAGCUGUGUUCUGGACAAGCAGUUUAUUGGAGAAAUUGACUUUUCAUACUGUACCUACCAGAAAGGCGUCUACACUGUAAAAUUUAGAGCCACACAGCCUGUUAAUAUUUCGCAUUCUGAAAAAACUAAUAUGUUUGUGUUGUUUUAUUUCUAAAGAGUUCAGGAUUUUGUUCUUUCACGGCUCAGUUAAUUCUGGCCUCUAAGACAUUUAUCACUCAAUGAUCACUGAUUCCUUAAUAGUCAGGUUUUGUGAGAAACUCUUGUGUGCACACAAUCUCUUUGGGUUGCGUUGUGCUAGUAACUGAACAAGUUGUUGGCAGCUCUGUAUGGAUUUUCCAUCAGAAUUGGAUUUUGUGGGAUUAUUCAUCACUUUUAGACUUCUAGCAGGUCAGGCCAAGGUUGCUUGAAACUUAUGGCAUUUAAUCACCAUUAGCAAUUUCCAGCGCCGUCCGGGUCUGACACAGGGAUUGAAAUAAAUGCAAUAUCUGGG